rnacentral:rRNA from 1 species
UGGGGAAUUUUGGACAAUGGGGGAAACCCUGAUCCAGCCAUCCCGCGUGUGCGAAGAAGGCCUUCGGGUUGUAAAGCACUUUUGGCAGGAAAGAAACGUCAUGGGUUAAUACCCCGUGAAACUGACGGUACCUGCAGAAUAAGCACCGGCUAACUACGUGCCAGCAGCCGCGGUAAUACGUAGGGUGCAAGCGUUAAUCGGAAUUACUGGGCGUAAAGCGUGCGCAGGCGGUUCGGAAAGAAAGAUGUGAAAUCCCAGAGCUCAACUUUGGAACUGCAUUUUUGACUACCGGGCUAGAGUGUGUCAGAGGGAGGUGGAAUUCCGCGUGUAGCAGUGAAAUGCGUAGAUAUGCGGAGGAACACCGAUGGCGAAGGCAGCCUCCUGGGAUAACACUGACGCUCAUGCACGAAAGCGUGGGGAGCAAACAGG